rnacentral:lncRNA from 1 species
UAAGUUGUAUGUGAUAUAUAUACAAAGAUAUGUAAUGUGUUAUUUUAUAGCCCAUUAGCAUAUGUAGGCCUCAUCAUUUGGCCUGCAGGCUCAUGGGCCGAUGGGAGCCUGUCCGGCCCAUUGAAAAAAAGUCCGGCCCGAUCCGUUAUAGGCUUUGAGAUGGCCUGGCCCGCCUUGGACCGGAUUAGGCUUGGGCUUAGGUGUCUGAAGUCCGG